UACGAACUGUGCAAACGUUAUUCGGAAUCACUGGGCAUAAAGCGCACGUAGGCGGCUGGGUCCGUCCGAUGUGAAAGCCCCCGGCUCAACCGGGGAAUUGCAUCGGAUACAGCCCGGCUUGAGGACGGUUGGGGUGAGUGGAAUUCCUGGUGUAGCGGUGAAAUGCGCAGAUAUCAGGAGGAACACCUAUUGCGAAGGCAGCUCGCUGGGACGUUACUGACGCUGAGACGCGAAAGCGUGGGGAGCAAACAGG
rnacentral:rRNA from 1 species